rnacentral:rRNA from 1 species
AACGAACGCUGGCGGCAGGCCUAACACAUGCAAGUCGAGCGAGGACUUCGGUCCUAGCGGCGGACGGGUGAGUAACGCGUGGGAACGUGCCCUUUGCUUCGGAAUAGCCCUGGGAAACUUGGCGUAAUACCGGAUGAGCCAUUUGGGGGUAAGAUUUAUCGGCGAAGGAUCGGCCCGCGUUGGAUUAGGUAGUUGGUGGGGUAAUGGCAUACCAAGCCGACGAUCCAUAGCUGGUUUGAGAGGAUGAUCAGCCACACUGGGACUGAGACACGGCCCAGACUCCUACGGGAGGCAGCAGUGGGGAAUCUUAGACAAUGGGGGAGACGCUGAUCUAGCCAUGCCGCGUGAGCGAUGAAGGCCUUAGGGUUGUAAAGCGCUUUCAGCUGGGAAGAUAAUGACGGUACCAGCAGAAGAAGCCCCGGCUAACUCCGUG